CAAUCGAGAUCUCCUGCGCGAAAGCCAGCGAGAUGAGCAGCAGGGGCAGCCCCACCGCAAUGCACGUGACCAUCUUGUCCACAGCCAGCUCCAGUCGCAGCCCCUUGAACUUGGGCUCCGUGGGCUCCUUCAGCAAGAAAUCCGAGAACACGUACUCCGUGGCCAGGUGGUCGCUGACCUGGCAGGUUAUCAUCCACUUCCCAGGAUUCUCGGCUAUCAUUUCUGUUGUAAGGAAGGUGGCUGGGAACAGGUUGACGACAUCAGUCCGAUGCCCUCUGCUGAUGAAGGUGUUACCAUAGAAAUAGAUAGAAUGGAUGUCUAUUUCAUUCCCCAUUCCAAAUAGGUGCCAGGACACAGAUUCUCCAACACACAUAUCAGGCUCCGGGAAGUUUCCGAAGAGGUAUCCAUUGAGGGCUGGAAACAGAAACACACUAGUGGAAGAAACUCCCCUGCAGAGGCGACUGGGACCAGAAAUGUUGGUAAUACGGGCUUAAGCAUGGCUGGAAAACCAGUGCAGACCAUUGGUUGUAAGGUUUUGGUGCAGAAAAACCUGGCUCUUAGAAAUGUAUAUUGUCCAAAAGAGAAAUGAAAUGUUUUUAUUGGCCUUUUUCCAGAGAAAACACUCAAUAAAAGUGAAGAUCAGCAUACACUGAGAACAGCCUCGGAGCUGCUGUGGGAGCGCAAUAUGAGGUCAGGAGAAAACAGAGUGCUGCUCAUAUUUACAGGAGGCUCAGUCACCUUCUGUCAUAAUCCUUCACUGGCAUAUCUGCUGUCUCCACCAGAUUCUGUGCUCCUUGGAACUAGAAACCCUGUCUUGUUCAUCUUAACAGUUAUCAGGACCUAGCAGAAAAACUGGCACAUAGUAUCUACUUAAUGAAGUGACA
rnacentral:lncRNA from 1 species